AAAAACUCAGAGCGAAAGAGAAAAUAAGAUGCAGCACAUGAGAGAAGGAACACAUUUCUCACUGGUGGUGUCUCCCCUACUGGAGAAAUAGUUUCAUUGUCACAAAAAAUUAUCCAGACGAUUCCGCAACAGAUAACCCCAUUGCGCAACCCAUUACCCUGCAGACCAGCUGCAGUCACCGAAAUCGUCCCACAAAAGUAUGUUAGCUGCAUUUCAUUUUCACAUCUCUUUUCUGUGUCUGGACAUUGUUUUUUUGAUCAUAUUUAUCCUAGAUGCGAAUGAUGACGCUGAAAGGACCGGUUCCUGCAGGCCUGCCGCCCCUCAUAAACGCGUCAGCGGUGGAGCAGCUCAGAGCCCGCGAAGAACAAAAGACAAAACAAUGCGAAUGAUGACGCUGAAAGGACCGGUUCCUGCACGCCUGCCGCGCCUCAUAAACGCGUCAGCGGUGGAGCAGCUCAGAGCCCGCGAAGAACAAAAGACAAAACAGUGA
ensembl:lncRNA